UACGGAGGGUGCAAGCGUUAUCCGGAAUUAUUGGGCGUAAAGCGUGCGUAGGCGGUUGCGCAAGUCGGAUGUGAAAGCCCGCGGCUCAACGUCGGAACGGCGUUGGAUACUGCGGGGCUAGAGUCCGGUAGAGGUCAGUGGAAUUCCCAGUGUAGCGGUGAAAUGCGUAGAUAUUGGGAAGAACACCAGUGGCGAAAGCGGCUGACUGGGCCGGAACUGACGCUGAGGGGCGAAAGCGAGGGGAGCAAACAGG
rnacentral:rRNA from 1 species